UACGUAGGUUGCGAGCGUUGUCCGGAAUCACUGGGCGUAAAGCGCACGCAGGCGGCCUCGAAAGCCCAUGGUGAAAGCCCUCGGCCCAACCGAGGGAUGCCCAUGGGAACUCCGGGGCUCAGAAGACGGGAGAGGCGGAUGGAAUUUCCGGUGUAGCGGUAAAAUGCGUAGAUACCGGAAGGAACACCAGUGGCGAAAGCGAUCCGCUGGCCCGCUCUUGACGCUCAGGUGCGAAAGCUAGGGUAGCGACCGGG
rnacentral:rRNA from 2 species